GUCUGGAAAGGCGCGCGAUACAGGGUGACAGCCCCGUACACAAAAGCGCAUGUGCUGUGAGCUCGAUGAGUAGGGCGGGACACGUGGUAUCCUGUCUGAAUAUGGGGGGACCAUCCUCCAAGGCUAAAUACUCCUGACUGACCGAUAGUGAACCAGUACCGUGAGGGAAAGGCGAAAAGAACCCCGGCGAGGGGAGUGAAAAAGAACCUGAAACCGUGUACGUACAAGCAGUGGGAGCACAGGUUUACCUGUGUGACUGCGUACCUUUUGUAUAAUGGGUCAGCGACUUAUAUUCUGUAGCAAGGUUAACCGCAUAGGGGAGCCGGAGGGAAACCGAGUCUUAAUUGGGCGUUAAGUUGCAGGGUAUAGACCCGAAACCCGGUGAUCUAGCCAUGGGCAGGUUGAAGGUUGGGUAACACUAACUGGAGGACCGAACCGACUAAUGUUGAAAAAUUAGCGGAUGACCUGUGGCUGGGGGUGAAAGGCCAAUCAAACCGGGAGAUAGCUGGUUCUCCCCGAAAGCUAUUUAGGUAGCGCCUCGUGAAUUCAUCUCCGGGGGUAGAGCACUGUUUCGGCUAGGGGGCCAUCCCGGCUUACCAACCCGAUGCAAACUGCGAAUACCGGAGAAUGUUAUCACGGGAGACACACGGCGGGUGCUAACGUCCGUCGUGAAGAGGGAAACAACCCAGACCGCCAGCUAAGGUCCCAAAGUCAUGGUUAAGUGGGAAACGAUGUGGGAAGGCCCAGACAGCCAGGAUGUUGGCUUAGAAGCAGCCAUCAUUUAAAGAAAGCGUAAUAGCUCACUGGUCGAGUCGGCCUGCGCGGAAGAUGUAACGGGGCUAAACCAUGCACCGAAGCUGCGGCAGCGACACUCAGGUGUUGUUGGGUAGGGGAGCGUUCUGUAAGCCUGCGAAGGUGGCCUGUGAGGGUUGCUGGAGGUAUCAGAAGUGCGAAUGCUGACAUAAGUAACGAUAAAGCGGGUGAAAAGCCCGCUCGCCGGAAGACCAAGGGUUCCUGUCCAACGUUAAUCGGGGCAGGGUGAGUCGACCCCUAAGGCGAGGCCGAAAGGCGUAGUCGAUGGGAAACGGGUUAAUAUUCCCGUACUUGGUGUUACUGCGAAGGGGGGACGGAGAAGGCUAUGUUGGCCGGGCGACGGUUGUCCCGGUUUAAGCGUGUAGGUGUGUGUUCCAGGUAAAUCCGGUU
rnacentral:rRNA from 1 species